UGUAGACUGGGAUAACUUCGGGAAACCGGAGCUAAUACCGGAUAAUCCAUUUCACCUCAUGGUGAAAUGUUGAAAGGCGCUUUCGCGUCACUACAGGAUGGGCCCGCGGUGCAUUAGCUAGUUGGUGGGGUAACGGCCUACCAAGGCGACGAUGCAUAGCCGACCUGAGAGGGUGAUCGGCCACAUUGGGACUGAGACACGGCCCAAACUCCUACGGGAGGCAGCAGUAGGGAAUCUUCCACAAUGGACGAAAGUCUGAUGGAGCAACGCCGCGUGAGUGAUGAAGGUUUUCGGAUCGUAAAACUCUGUUGUAAGGGAAGAACAAGUACGUUAGGAAAUGAACGUACCUUGACGGUACCUUAUUAGAAAGCCACGGCUAACUACGUGCCAGCAGCCGCGGUAAUACGUAGGUGGCAAGCGUUGUCCGGAUUUAUUGGGCGUAAAGCGCGCGCAGGUGGUUUCUUAAGUCUGAUGUGAAAGCCCACGGCUCAACCGUGGAGGGUCAUUGGAAACUGGGAGACUUGAGUGCAGAAGAGGAAAGUGGAAUUCCAAGUGUAGCGGUGAAAUGCGUAGAGAUUUGGAGGAACACCAGUGGCGAAGGCGACUUUCUGGUCUGUAACUGACGCUGAGGCGCGAAAGCAUGGGGAGCAAACAGGAUUAGAUACCCUGGUAGUCCAUGCCGUAAACGAUGAGUGCUAAGU
rnacentral:rRNA from 1 species